AUUGAACGCUGGCGGCAGGCUUAACACAUGCAAGUCGAGCGGGGGAAGGUAGCUUGCUACCGGACCUAGCGGCGGACGGGUGAGUAAUGCUUAGGAAUCUGCCUAUUAGUGGGGGACAACAUCUCGAAAGGGAUGCUAAUACCGCAUACGUCCUACGGGAGAAAGCAGGGGAUCUUCGGACCUUGCGCUAAUAGAUGAGCCUAAGUCGGAUUAGCUAGUUGGUGGGGUAAAGGCCUACCAAGGCGACGAUCUGUAGCGGGUCUGAGAGGAUGAUCCGCCACACUGGGACUGAGACACGGCCCAGACUCCUACGGGAGGCAGCAGUGGGGAAUAUUGGACAAUGGGGGGAACCCUGAUCCAGCCAUGCUGCGUGUGUGAAGAAGGCCUUAUGGUUGUAAAGCACUUUAAGCGAGGAGGAGGCUACUUUAGUUAAUACCUAGAGAUAGUGGACGUUACUCGCAGAAUAAGCACCGGCUAACUCUGUG
rnacentral:rRNA from 1 species